AACGAACGCUGGCGGCAUGCCUAACACAUGCAAGUCGAACGAGACCUUCGGGUCUAGUGGCGCACGGGUGCGCAACGCGUGGGAACCUGCCCUUAGGUUCGGAAUAACUCCCCGAAAGGGGUGCUAAUACCGGAUAAUGUCUUCGGACCAAAGAUUUAUCGCCUUUGGAUGGGCCCGCGUUGGAUUAGCUAGUUGGUAGGGUAAAAGCCUACCAAGGCGACGAUCCAUAGCUGGUCUGAGAGGAUGAUCAGCCACACUGGGACUGAGACACGGCCCAGACUCCUACGGGAGGCAGCAGUGGGGAAUAUUGGACAAUGGGCGAAAGCCUGAUCCAGCAAUGCCGCGUGAGUGAUGAAGGCCUUAGGGUUGUAAAGCUCUUUUACCCGGGAUGAUAAUGGCAGUACCGGGAGAAUAAGCUCCGGCUAACUCCGUG
rnacentral:rRNA from 1 species